rnacentral:snRNA from 1 species
AUAACUUCGUAUAAUGUAUGCUAUACGAAGUUAUUUCUUAUCAGUUUAAUAUCCUGAUACGUCCCUACCCGGGGACUACAUAUUAAAUUGAUUUUUGGAUCACGGAGCUGGAGCCGGGGCUUGCUCUGUCCACUCCACGCAUCGGCCUGGUAUUGCAGUGUUUCCAGGAACGGUGUGCUCCCU